rnacentral:rRNA from 1 species
UACGUAGGGGGCAAGCGUUGUCCGGAUUUAUUGGGCGUAAAGAGCGUGUAGGCGGCUGGGUAGGUCAGCUGUGAAAACUCGAGGCUCAACCUCGAGACGUCGGUUGAAACCGUAUGGCUAGAGUCCGGAAGAGGAGAGUGGAAUUCCCGGUGUAGCGGUGAAAUGCGCAGAUAUCGGGAAGAACACCUAUGGCGAAGGCAGCUCUCUGGGACGGUACUGACGCUGAGACGCGAAAGCGUGGGGAGCGAACAGG